UACAGAGGUCUCAAGCGUUAAUCGGAAUCACUGGGCUUAAAGGGUGCGUAGGCGGGCCUGCAAGUGCCUUGUGAAAUCCCCCGGCUUAACCGGGGAAUUGCUUGGUAGACUGCAGGUCUUGAGGUCGGUAGAGGGCGCUGGAACUCUAGGUGGAGCGGUGAAAUGCGUAGAUAUCUAGAGGAACACCAAAGGUGAAGACAGGCGCCUGGGCCGAAUCUGACGCUGAGGCACGAAAGCGUGGGGAGCGAACGGG
rnacentral:rRNA from 1 species